CAGCCUUUGACUUCUUAUUCUUCAUCAAAAUCUUCUUUCUCUUCGUAAAAACCCCUGCCUUUGGUUGUUGCGCCCAAAAGAUAUGGCUCCGGUUCUUAUGAUCCCCCUUCCAUAGUUACUUCGCCCUUGCCUGGAUGUCUUGGUUCGUUUUUUGCAUUUUCCCUGGCUCCAAAGAUAAAAGAUAGAGUGAGCAUUCAAUCUUGAAAGAAGAAUCGAGUAAAUCAGAUACCCAAUACGUCUUAACGUAGAAUAGGGAGGUAUAAAUCUUU
rnacentral:lncRNA from 1 species